UACGAAGGAUGCAAGCGUUAUCCGGAUUUAUUGGGUUUAAAGGGUGCGUAGGCGGACUUAUAAGUCAGUGGUGAAAUCUCGUUGCUUAACAACGAACGUGCCAUUGAUACUGUAGGUCUUGAGUACAGAUGCCGUUGGCGGAAUGUGUCAUGUAGCGGUGAAAUGCAUAGAUAUGACACAGAACACCGAUUGCGAAGGCAGCUGACGAAACUGUAACUGACGCUGAGGCACGAAAGCCAGGGGAGCAAACGGG
rnacentral:rRNA from 1 species